CAUGGAUUUAAGCUUCAUAUAUAAAGGAAUACCCUUUUAUUAGAA
rnacentral:tRNA from 11 species